UACGUAGGGUGCGAGCGUUAAUCGGAAUUACUGGGCGUAAAGCGUGCGCAGGCGGUUCGUUGUGUCUGAUGUGAAAGCCCCGGGCUCAACCUGGGAAUGGCAUUGGAAACUGGCGAGCUAGAGUGUGGCAGAGGGGGGUGGAAUUCCGCGUGUAGCAGUGAAAUGCGUAGAGAUGUGGAGGAACACCGAUGGCGAAGGCAGCCCCCUGGGCUAACACUGACGCUCAGGCACGAAAGCGUGGGGAGCAAACAGG
rnacentral:rRNA from 1 species